AGUUAAUGAACUUGAUAUAAGUAAAUGUUUUGAAAACAUUAUAAAGAGGUCUACUCCUCUAUUAACUU
rnacentral:tRNA from 1 species